GCAUUCACUUCAGCAGCACAAAUACUGAAAUUGGAAUGAUACAGAGAAGAUUAGCAUUGCCCCUGCACAAGGAUGACAUGCAAAUUCAAAAAGUAUUCCAUAUUUUU
ensembl:snRNA U6 U6 spliceosomal RNA